rnacentral:tRNA from 1 species
GGGGUUGUGGCUCAGUGGUAGAGCACUCAUCUGGCACGUGUGAGGCACUGGUUUCUAUCCUCAGCACCA